CUUAUGCAUGCAAGUCGAGCGAUGAGGCCUUCUUCGGAGGGCACAUCAGCGGCAGACGGGUGAGUAACACGUGGGUGACCUGCCCUUGAGACGGGGAUAACGGAUGGAAACAUGCGUUAAUACCCGAUAGGGUCCCAGGGUCAAAGCUGGGAUGAAAGCUUUGGUGCUCAAGGAGGGGCUCGCGGCCCAUCAGCUAGUUGGUGAGGUAACGGCUCACCAAGGCGAAGACGGGUAGGGGUGUGAGAGCACGGCCCCCCACAAUGGGACUGAGACACGGCCCAUACUCCUACGGGAGGCAGCAGCAGGGAAUAUUGCACAAUGGACGGAAGUCUGAUGCAGCGACGCCGCGUGGAUAUGAAGCUUCGGGUUGUAAAAUCCUUUACGGGGUGACGAGGAAGACGGUACCCCGGAACAAGCGUCGCUACUACUGCCAGCAGCCGCGGUAAGACGUAGACGCAAGCGUUAUCCGGAUUUACUGGGCGUAAAGCGUCUGUAGGCGGAUGAGUAAGUUGGGCGUGAAAGCUCCGGGCUCAACCCGGAGAGNCCCGUUCAAUACUGCUGAUCUAGAGGAGGCCAGAGGGGAGUGGAAUUCCUGGAGUAGCGGUAAAAUGCGCAGAUAUCAGGAAGAACACCAGUGGCGAAGGCGGCUCCCUAGGGCCCACCUGACGCUGAGAGACGACAGCUAGGGGAGCGAACAGGAUUAGAGACCCUGGUAGUCCUAGCCGUAAACGAUGGAUGCUAGGUGUAGGGCCGUAGAGGCUCUGUGCCGGAGCGAACGCGAUAAGCAUCCCGCCUGGGGAGUACGGCCGCAAGGCUAAAACUCAAACGAAUUGACGGGGACCCGCACAAGCAGCGGAGCGUGUGGUUUAAUUCGAUGCUACACGAAGAACCUUACCUGGGUUUGACAUGGGCGUGGUAGUGAAGCGAAAGCGGAGCGACCAUUCGGGGAGCGUCCACAGGUGCUGCAUGGCUGUCGUCGGCUCGUGCCGUGAGGUGUCGGGUUAAGUCCCGUAACGAGCGCAACCCUUGCCCUUAGUUACAAGUGUCUAAGGGGACUGCCGGCGGGAAGCCGGAGGAAGGUGGGGAUGACGUCAAGUCAGCAUGGCCCUUAUAUCCAGGGCUACACACACGCUACAAUGGCCGGUACAGAGGGCAGCGAAGCCGCGAGGUGGAGCGAAUCCCAGAAAGCCGGUCGUAGUUCGGAUUGCAGGCUGCAACCCGCCUGCAUGAAGCUGGAGUUGCUAGUAACCGCGCGUCAGCCAUAGUGCGCGUGAUACGUUCCCGGUCUUGUACACACCGCCCGUCACGUCAUGGGAGU
rnacentral:rRNA from 1 species